CCUACGGGAGGCAGCAGUGGGGAAUUUUGGACAAUGGGCGCAAGCCUGAUCCAGCAAUGCCGCGUGAGUGAAGAAGGCCUUCGGGUUGUAAAGCUCUUUUGUCAGGGAAGAAACGGGAGUGGCUAAUAUCUGCUCCUAAUGACGGUACCUGAAGAAUAAGCACCGGCUAACUACGUGCCAGCAGCCGCGGUAAUACGUAGGGUGCAAGCGUUAAUCGGAAUUACUGGGCGUAAAGCGUGCGCAGGCGGUUUUGUAAGUUUGUCGUGAAAUCCCCGGGCUCAACCUGGGAAUGGCGAUGAAGACUGUAAGGCUAGAGUUUGGCAGAGGGGGGUAGAAUUCCACGUGUAGCAGUGAAAUGCGUAGAUAUGUGGAGGAACACCGAUGGCGAAGGCAGCCCCCUGGGUCAAAACUGACGCUCAUGCACGAAAGCGUGGGGAGCAAACAGGAUUAGAUACCCUGGUAGUCCACGCCCUAAACGAUGUCUACUAGUUGUCGGGUCUUAAUUGACUUGGUAACGCAGCUAACGCGUGAAGUAGACCGCCUGGGGAGUACGGUCGCAAGAUUAAAACNCAAAUGAAUUGACGG
rnacentral:rRNA from 1 species